rnacentral:rRNA from 1 species
AACGAACGCUGGCGGCAUGCCUAACACAUGCAAGUCGAACGAGACCUUCGGGUCUAGUGGCGCACGGGUGCGUAACGCGUGGGAACCUGCCCUUAGGUUCGGAAUAACUCCCCGAAAGGGGUGCUAAUACCGGAUAAUGUCUUCGGACCAAAGAUUUAUCGCCUUUGGUUGGGCCCGCGUUGGAUUAGCUAGUUGGUAGGGUAAAAGCCUACCAAGGCGACGAUCCAUAGCUGGUCUGAGAGGAUGAUCAGCCACACUGGGACUGAGACACGGCCCAGACUCCUACGGGAGGCAGCAGUGGGGAAUAUUGGACAAUGGGCGAAAGCAUGAGCAAGCAAUGCCGCGUGAGUGAUGAAGGCAUUAGGGUUGUAAAGCUCUUUUACCCGGGAUGAUAAUGACAGUACCGGGAGAAUAAGCACCGGCUAACUCCGUG